UCCCUGGUGGUCCAGUGGUUAGGGCUCUGUACUGCCACUGCAGGGAGCACGGGUUCAAGCCCUGCUUGGGGAG
rnacentral:tRNA from 1 species